UGGCACGCCCGAAGUCGUUACUCCAACCCGCAAGGGAGGAGGACGUCGAAGGUGGGGCUGAUGACUGGGGUGAAGUCGUAACAAGGUAGCCGUACCGGAAGGUGCGGCUGGAUCACCUCCUAACAGGGAGACAACUCAGACGUUGAUGCUUGACCAAAUUUGAUGUUAAGCCAGUGUCCUGUCACUCUAGGUCGAUCGGUACCUCAGCUUUGAGAUUGAGAACUGUAGAGAAGCGAAGCAGAAGUCAGCAGGGAAACCAGCUGAUGGAUGUGAUGUGAAUCUAUUGUUGCUCAAGACUCAAUUUUCAGUUCCUAAACGUUGUCUAGGUCACCCCAUAGCGGGUUUCACCUCCUGGGCCAUUAGCUCAGGUGGUUAG
rnacentral:misc_RNA from 1 species